ACAACUUCAUUUGUGUGUAUAUAUAUGUAAGAACAUGAGACAUGUCUUGUUUGUGCGGUCGAUUCAUCACCUACACUGGGUCUGCACAUGUGAAAUAACCUCACGUCUUCAAUACUCUCACUGAGAGUUUUCUGUUUUGUCGAUGUUGAUUGUGUUGUAAGUUUAGCUGAAUAAUAAAUUUGACGAAUAGUCGGUUUGUUGGGUG
rnacentral:lncRNA from 1 species